UCCCCUCUGGCCUGGCUCCUCUGGGGACUGUGGGCAAUGAGUAUAUGGGGGGGAGGGAAGUGUUGAAAAAGCCAUCCCUGCAGAGAGAAGGGACUGGCCCAAGGUCACACAUGUGCUUAAUGGCAGAGCUAGGAUUUUAAGCCAGGUUUCCUGAUUCUCAGUCAAAAACCAGAGCUCUCCUGAAUCAGGGUGCUUAUCCAUCCCUGCUGCUUUACGUGCCCCACCCCUAACACCACCACUAAGGCCAGACUUCAAAGAGAAAAUGAGUCACUAAAGGGCAGCUUGAGAAAUGUGUAUGGAAGGAAGGGAAGGAAGAAGCAUUUAUUAAGUACCUACUACAUGCCAGGCGUGGUGCUGAGCCUUUUACAAAUAUCUCAUUUGAUUCUCACAGCAACCCUGGGAGAUGGGUGCUAUUACUAAUCCCUGCUCUACAGUAGAGGAAACUGAGGCAGACAGAGGUGAAGUGACUUGCACAGGCUUACACAGCUCAUAAGUUUCUGAGGCUGGAUUUGAACUCAGGUUUUCCUUCCUCCUAGGGCAGCUAGGUGGAUAGAGCACAGGGCCUGGAGUCCAGAGACCCAUCUUCCUGAGUUUAAAUCUGACCUCAGAUACUUUCUAGCUGGGUGACUCUGGGCAAGCCACUUAAUCUUGUUUGCCUCAGUUUCUUCUUCUGUAAAAUGAGUUGGAGAAGGAAAUGGCAAACCACUCCCGUGUCUUUGUCAAGGAAACCCCACAUGGGAUCACAAAGAGUCAGACACAGCUGAACACCACAUUUCCUCUGUCCACUGUGCCAGCAGCUGCCUUGUGGGCUAGCCGCUCUUAGAGGUCAUCCAGUCCAACCCCCCAAGGCCCAGAGGGGUUCCUUCAGUUGGAGGAGACGCUCAGCACUUUAGACCGCAGGAAACCCAAAGGACCGGGUUCCCUCUCGAAAGUCCAUCUGCUACGACGUGGUCACCCAUCUCGUGAUUACGUGUCCUGGGUGCCACGCAUCUCAGGAAAAAAAGAGCACCUGAAAUUUUCCACUACAUCAGCUCGCUGGCCAGGUGUAUCCCCUUCAACCGCUUGGAGCAAGGGAUGGAGAGGCUUAGGAUAGUCUCUUCAGGGGCCGUCGUGAAGAGGAGGCCCCUGCCAAUGGCACCUUUCAGGUAAGUUCAGUGUCCUCAGCUGCCUGAGGUGGGGGCCGCUGGGCGCUCCCCGUCUCUGUCAGAUAGAGCUGCCUCAGGUGGAAGAAGGAGGCGGUGAGAGGGCUGUUGGUACUAGCUCUGGCAAGGGUCCACCUUCUAGGGUCUGCUUGGCUUCGUUCUAGAGACUGGCUUUAGACAAGUCGGCUUCUCAGCUGAAGA
rnacentral:lncRNA from 1 species